UGGCUCAAUGGUAGAGCGUUGAAAUCAAAUACCAAUGGUCGCGGGUUCAAAUCCCAU
rfam:Schistocephalus solidus strain NST_G2 genome assembly, scaffold: SSLN_contig0018086